UGUUGGUCCAAUAUGAUUCGUCAUGGAAAACGGUUGGUACGGCAACGUGACGUAGGGACUAGCAUCUAUUUAUGUGCCAUCUUCAUCAAUAAUGUGUGACGUUACAUGUCUUGUUAAUAAAAAUAUUCCAAGUGUAGUGGUACAUUCCAUAUUGAUUUUUGUCUACAGUGUGUUGCUAAAUCAAUUUACAUGAUGCUGUACAGAGACAUUUAUUUG
rnacentral:lncRNA from 1 species